GAUGAAGAACGCAGCGAAAUGCGAUAAGUAAUGUGAAUUGCAGAAUUCCGUGAAUCAUCGAAUCUUUGAACGCACAUUGCGCCCGCCAGUAUUCUGGCGGGCAUGCCUGUUCGAGCGUCAUUUCAACCAUCAAGCCCCAGGCUUGUGUUGGGGACCUGCGGCUGCCGCAGGCCCUGAAAACCAGUGGCGGGCUCGCUGUCACACCGGGCGUAGUAGAUUUUAUCUCGCUCAGGGCGUGCUGCGGGUCCCGGCCGUUAAAAGCCUUUUUUUACCCAAGGUUGACCUCGGAUCAGGUAGGAAGACCCGCUGAACUUAAGCAUAUCAAUAAGCGGAGGA
rnacentral:misc_RNA from 1 species